UGCAGGGACAGAAACAUUCGAGAGGAAAGCAGGAUGUCUGAGCUGUGGGACAAACCGCUGUGUGAUGUGGAAGAUGAAGACCUGCUGCCGGACCUUUCCACCUGACAUACCUGACAUACAGAUACUGAAGAGGAGCGUUGACUGAUGGAUGCCCUCGUGCACCGAGGAGACACGAGGAGACGAGGAGCUGGAUGGGAGCUGGUCUAAAGUUACAACUCUUCUAAUGGAGAGCCGCACUUUUCGUCACUGCUGUUUGUUUUCUUUGGGUUUUUUCUUCUUUCUGUUUUUGUUUGCAGACACGAUGAAGAUCUGAGCAGCACCAACGUUCUGGCAAUGUGACUGAUUGAUCCAGUAGAUGAACAGUAAAGAUUAAGAGGAUGACAAAUAAGCAUGCUGCUUACACAGCGCGUGGGGCUAAUCCUUCCCCCUCCACCCCCUGGGCUCCCUUUUGAGGAGCUGCCACCGAGGAGCACCCACAGACAGUGACGGACCCCGACGGCCGGAGGGAGGACACGCAAACCUGUUGACGUGCAACAAGUGGGAAGCUCAUGGCAGGACCCCAGCCCAUCUGCAUCUCCACACCAGGACUCAACCUGCCAUCUGCCCACUGAGGGGACCACCGGAGGCCUGACAGCUACGCAUUUCUGUCCCUCACAAGCACAAGCUCAAAAGGAACUUUUUGUGUGUUGAUCCUGCACUUUGUGUCUGGACAAUUUGGAAAAGUCCCCAGAAGAAGAGGAGAAAUAGUUUGCAGCAAAGUU